rnacentral:rRNA from 1 species
UACGGGGGGGGGCAAGCGUUGUUCGGAAUUACUGGGCGUAAAGGGCGCGUAGGCGGCCUGCUAAGUCGGAUGUGAAAUCCCUCGGCUCAACCGAGGAACUGCAUCCGAUACUGGCGGGCUUGAAUCCGGGAGAGGGAUGUGGAAUUCCAGGUGUAGCGGUGAAAUGCGUAGAUAUCUGGAGGAACACCGGUGGCGAAGGCGGCAUCCUGGACCGGUAUUGACGCUGAGGCGCGAAAGCUAGGGGAGCAACGG